AGGAAUUGGCGGGGGAGCCCCACAAAGCGGGGAACCUGCGGUUUAAUUGGAUUCAACGCCGGACAUUUCACCAGGGGCGGCAGGUGUUUUAUAGCCAGGUUGAUGACUUUGCUUGAUUAGGUGAGAGGAGGUGCAUUGCCGCCCUUAGCUUGUACCCUGGGGCCUCCUGUUAAGUCCGGCAACGAGCGAGACCCCCCCCCUUUGUUACCAGCUUGUCCCUUUUGGGAUGAUGGGCACACUAAGGGGACCGCCUAUGAUAAAUAGGAGGAAGGAGUGGACGACGGUAGGUCCGUAUGCCCCGAAUCCUCUGGGCAACACGCGGGCUACAAUGGCUGAGACAAUGGGUUCCGACACCGAAAGGUGGAGGUAAUCCUCUAAAGUUAGUCGUAGUUCGGAUUGAGGACUGUAACUCGUUCUCAUGAAGCUGGAAUGCGUAGUAAUCGCGUAUCACUAUUGCGCGGUGAAUACGUCCCUGCUCCUUGCACACACCGC
rnacentral:rRNA from 1 species